AUUGAACGCUGGCGGCAUGCUUUACACAUGCAAGUCGAACGGUAACAGGCCGCAAGGUGCUGACGAGUGGCGAACGGGUGAGUAAUGCAUCGGAACGUGCCCAGUCGUGGGGGAUAACGCAGCGAAAGCUGUGCUAAUACCGCAUACGAUCUAUGGCUGAAAGCGGGGGACCGUAGGGCCUCGCGCGAUUGGAGCGGCCGAUGUCAGAUUAGGUAGUUGGUGGGGUAAAGGCCUACCAAGCCGACGAUCUGUAGCUGGUCUGAGAGGACGACCAGCCACACUGGGACUGAGACACGGCCCAGACUCCUACGGGAGGCAGCAGUGGGGAAUUUUGGACAAUGGGCGCAAGCCUGAUCCAGCAAUGCCGCGUGCAGGAAGAAGGCCUUCGGGUUGUAAACUGCUUUUGUACGGAACGAAACGGUCUGGGUUAAUACCCUGGGCUAAUGACGGUACCGUAAGAAUAAGCACCGGCUAACUACGUGCCAGCCGCCGCGGUAAUAC
rnacentral:rRNA from 1 species